UCUACGGUACUGCGCCCGUGCCAUGAGUACGGCGUGUGCACAGGUUCCCCAUGCAUACCCCAUUUAACACAGCAGUUGAUUCCCAGCCUCGCGCCGUUUCACGCCGCAAAGCUGCCCUUUAACUGGUCUUUCGGCUGCUCUAUCCCUUCGUUCAGCCAGUUAAGAGGCGUCUCAUCUCCCGACAUGCGGUUGCAUUAAUGCUCUGUCUCUCAUGCACGCACGCAUAUAUAAGGGCCCUCCCACAACAAACCCUCUGCACCCUCCCACAACAAGCCCUCUGCACCCUCCCGCAACAAGCCAUCGCCACCAUGCCUUGCCGUUUGAAGACUACUUGGGCCAUGCUCAGCCCUUCCUCCUCCGCUCCUCGCUCCCCAACGACGCAACCUCCCCCGCUAUCGUCCGAUGAUUCGGACCGCUCCUCCUCCCCACCUCGCUCACUCGCCGCUGCCGCCUCCCUGGCCAUCAUCUGACUCAUCGUACCUCGAGAUCAACCUCGAGGACAAUCCGGAUCGGGAGACCGAUUCGGAAGUGGAGGAUUUGGCGAUGGCUCAG
rnacentral:lncRNA from 1 species